AUAAGGGGGAUAGUAAUGGCCUCCAACCCAAAAGCCUGAGCUUAAGGGUGGAGAAGCCCUUCCAAGGUCAUAAGCCAAGCUGCCGCACACUACCCGACCAAUGUGGGACUAAACUCCCUUGCCAUUCCUGGCCAUGGAGCGCAUUCACUGCAUC